rnacentral:lncRNA from 1 species
UGGGACUGGGGGUAUAAAACUGGAUUAGCAGUUCAAACUUAAAUCCUCAGCACUGGUUAACAGUCAUAUAACUCAUUCCUGGACAAGGAACUCACUUUGCCUGUUCCUGUCAUGCCUGGAGCAAACUUUAGCAAUGAGAGAUACUGAAAUCGGGGCCAUCCAGGGCAAAACAUCAGGCUUCUCUGAUACCUGCUGCAGGAGUAUUCCUCUCCCCCUCCUCUAGCAGCUGUCAAGUGUCAGCAGUUGACAUUUUGGUGUUGUUUUUCCCACAGUCUAUGGCUAAGGCUCAAGUUAACACAUGCUGCAGAGGAGAUAUCCUGUUCUCAGGGGUGAAAAAAGUGUUUGUGAUACAUUCAGCAGCACCAGAAGAAGGGCAGGGUCCCUGCAUCUGAAGGCCUGGAACCUCCUGAGAUCCAGCUGUGAGCCCCAGGGAGGAAAUGCAAAAGAAGGAAUCCUGACAUCUUUGGAAACCAAGGCAGGAACCCUCUGGACACUAAAGAGCUGCUCUAGUUUUACCUCAGCACGUCCUGAGCUCACUCCACUGUUCUUUUGGAGGUGGAGAUCCACCCGCAGACGCGGCCUGUAUCGAGGACGUGUUGGCUGCAUCUAAGCCGGGCUGACACCACGGAUCACGGGACACCAUGGCACUGCCCACGCCACCUAAGCUGGGUCAGAAGAUCUGUCACCAGGAGGUGGCAUUUCUGCAGAUCCCCGCUCGCUCGGCACUCCCACGGUGCUGGCAGCAGGCGAUGCGGUACCUGAGGAUGGUCGCAGCCUGAAGAGAGGGGCAGGAGAUGUAGGCUGCAGAUGUGGGAAAGAAGGCACAGAAGGCCUGGAGGAGGAGAAAGGCCAGCUGAGAUGAGCGGAGCACGCUGCAGCCCGAAGAAGGGAGGCUGCAGAAGUGCAGAGGUGCCGCUGC